rnacentral:rRNA from 1 species
UACGGGGGGGGCAAGCGUUGUUCGGAAUUACUGGGCGUAAAGGGUUCGUAGGUGGCUUGUUAAGUCAGACGUGAAAUCCCCUCGGCUCAACCGGGGAACUGCGUCUGAGACUGAUGAGCUUGAGUGCAGGAGAGGAACGCGGAAUUCCAGGUGUAGCGGUGAAAAUGCGUAGAGAUGUGGAGGAACACCAGUGGCGAAGGCGGC